CCCCAAAAUACCUUAUCCAGGAGGAUCCUCUUGAUGGGACUGUCCAUAUCGGCAGACUGUGAUAUGGCCAUUCCUUGGAGAGACUCCUUCCCCUCCAGGAGACUGCCAACAUGAUGACAAACACCACCCCAAGGGGUUGCUGGGCAGCUUCAAUGUGGUUCUCUUUUAUUCUUCUCACAUACCUUUUGGUCCAAGAUCAUUGAUGACUGCCUUCAGCCAUCUGCAAUGUCAGUCUGGUGUGGUCUGUUGUCCCUGUGUUCUGGCUCUUGUAGAAUACUGGUUGAGGGGUGGAGAUGAUGUAGUUAAUUAUUCCUUGCCACGAACACUACAGGGACAUCUCCAUGGAUUUCAUAGAGGGGGACAUCUCCAUGGUUUUCACUACAGAAGGACAUCUCCAUGGUCUUCAUUACGAAGGACAUCUCCAUGGUCUUCAUUACGAGGGACAUCUCCAUGGUCUUUUCAUUAGAGGGGGACAUCUCCAUGGUCUUUUCACUACAGAAGGACAUCUCCAUGGUCUUCACUACAGAAGGACAUCUCCAUGGUCUUCAUUACAGAAGGACAUCUCCAUGUCUUCAUUAACAAAGGACAUCUCCAUGGUCUCAUUACAAAGGACAUCUCCAUGGUCUUCUUACAGAGGCUCUCAGGUCUUCAUUACAGAAGACAUCUCCAUGUUAUUUUCAUUAGAGGGGGACAUCUCCAUGGUCUUUUCAUACAGAAGGACAUCCCAUGGUCUCAUUACAGAAAGACAUCUCCAUGGCUUUCAUUACAGAGGGACAUCUCCAUGGUCUUUUUUCAUUAGAAGGACAUCCCAUGGUCUUUUCACUACGAAGAACAUAUCCAUGGAUUUUCAUACAGAGGGACAUCUCCAUGGUAUUUUCAUUAGAGGGGGACAUUCCAUGGUCUUUUCAUUACAGAAGGACAUCUCCGGGUCUUCAUUACAGAAGGACAUCUCAUGGUCUUCAUUACAGAGGGACAUCUCCAUGGUCUUUUCAUUAGAAGGGACACUCCAUGGUCUUUUCACUACAGAAGACAUAUCCAGGUAUUUUUCAUUACAGAGGGACAUCUCCAUGGUAUUUUCAUUAGAGGGGGACAUCUCCAUGGUCUUUUCAUUACAGAAGGACAUCUCCAUGGUCUUUCAUUACAGAAGGACAUCUCCAUGGCUUUUCAUUACAGAGGGACAUCGCCCAUGGUCUUUCAUUACAGAGGGACACUCCAUGGUCUUUUCAUUACAGAAGGACAUCCCAUGGAUAAACUGAAACAAUACAGUCAGAGAAGAGAACAAGGACAAUGAAGGGGGGAGAGGAAAAAGUCAACUUGCAGAGGGUAGUUUCUGUGAGUCGGGAUAUUGGUGUGGAGAAUGAUGAAUGGUGGUCAGUAUGGGAGAGAGUAUGUACGGGUGAGAGACAGACAGACAGGAGAGGUAAGAGCGAGAGAGCAGUGGUGUUGACAGAAGUGAGGUUGUGUAUUGUCUGUGCGUGGCCCAUGUGAGGUUGAGGUAGAGCGAUGUCCAAUCUCGUUGUUGAGCAACAUUUGGACUGGGUCAGGAAGCAGUGAAGGAGAGGAGAAGGAAACAGGGAGAAGAAGGAAACAAGCGAGAGAGACGCCCUUCUCCCCCAUUCUUCUUACAUAACCAUGUGCAUUCUCCCUCUUUCUCUCUCUCUCUCCCUGAAUGAUAAAUCAUCAACAAGUGGGCUCCGAGAGCGAUGUUCCCAGGGACUCAAGUAUGUGACCCUGGAAACUCAAGUUGGGGGAUUCUUAACUGAAGCAGAAAACAUUUCCUAUCGUGUAGUCAAGGGUAAUGAGCUCACGUUAACUGGCCUGCCAGCAUCUUAAUAUACCAGUGUUAUUCUAGGAAUAAUAAUCACAAAUAACAGCUUCAAGCCAAAGGACCAACAUCAAGGUCUAGAGGACAAGGUUUCCAACAAUCAGACACAAGGCUUACAAUCCUAGAGACAAGGUUUUUACAACCUAGAGAGGCAAGGUUUCUUACAAUCCUAGAGAGACAGGUUUCUUACAAUCUCUAGAGACAAUGUUCUUACAACCUAGAGACAAGGUUUCUUACAUUCAUAGAGAGACAAGUGUCUUACAAUCCUUCUAUUAAUGAGAGUGGCUUUUAGAAUGUGGCAUCUUACCAAGAUUCCAGCUGUCCACACAACAGAACUCUGAAAAUAACAGAGGAAAUAUCAGAGGAUGUGACUACUGACUUUUAAGUGGAAAUGUAUCUGUGUGUAUACAGAUCUCUACGUGUCUAUGUGUAUACAGUAUCUCUACGUGUCUGGUGUUGAGUGUAAUCUACCAGUGCAUUGAUCCCGGUUUAAUCUACCAGUGUCAUUGAUCCUGUGU
rnacentral:lncRNA from 1 species